CUAGUCAGCAGCCGGUCGAGUCAAGCUCAUAAAUUGUUCAAGGGAAAACAAUCGCGUCCCUGCAGUGCAAAGUGUCGCAGAAUAUGUAAAAUAAGCUUUUAUUCGAAACCGUGUUCUUGUGUUUUCUGUACCUCGAACCCGGGAACAACUUGAGCAACUGGUGAACAGCGAUUUUCAUUGACGGGACCGUCUCUGAAUGCUGUUCCGAUUAGUGACGUACGAAGAUAGACGUAUCUUUAACUAAAUAGAUUUGACCCGCCGAGAAUGAGUACGAACAAUAAGCAGGCUCUCUUCGCGUGCUCUAGGUGUUUCUCCAGACACCCUUUCGAGGAGCUAUCGUCCGGGCAACAGCUGUGCAAGGAAUGCAGAGGCGCAUUCCCUGUCGUAAAGUGUACCUACUGUAGAUCAGAAUUUCAGCAGACAAUAAAGGGUAACACUAGUACGAUAUGUAAAAAGUGUGAACAGAAUGUUAAGGCCUAUGGAAAGCCAUCAGCAUGCGAGUACUGCAAUACUAUUGCAGCAUUUAUUGGCAGCAAAUGUCAAAGAUGCACAAACUCGGAGAAACGUUAUGGGCCACCAGUGACCUGUGAACAGUGUAAACAGAAGUGUGCAUUCGACAGACAGGAUGAGGAUAAGAAGGUUGACGGCAAACUGCUGUGCUGGCUAUGCACGUUGUCAUACAAACGAGCUCUAGCCAAAACGAAACAAUCGGAUGCCGAAAGAAGGGCUCAUUUGAAACUGGCACAGCAACGCGCGGCGAAGCACAAGGAACAAAAAUUAAAAGGUCACAAUAAACGACCGCAAAGGGUGGACGUAACCAAGUUGCCACCACAAACCGAAUCCAAUGAAUCCAACGGACCUACUCCGGUCAAGGUGGCUCGAAUGGCAGGAGUCCAUGACCCCGACCCUAACAGUUCGGACCAUGUGGUCGCUGUCACACAACUCAAGGAGAAGAUCGCCCAUCUUCAGAAGCAGAUAUCCCUUAAAGAUGGACAACUUUUAUCAAAAGACAGACAGAUAACCGAAUUGAAGGCGAAAAAUUUCACGGCCGAGACAGAAUUACGUAAUAAAAUGAAGACUAGCGAGAAAGAGUAUGAGAACAAGAUCUCAAAUAUGCAACAUAAGAUCUCGAGUCUACUUAAGGAGGUAGCUUCCUUAUCAAAGAGUACGAAACGUGGCGACAGGGUCGCCGCUACCAAGAGCGAAGCAGGGACCAAUAGUGGGAGUGGAACCGACAGUCCUGUACCUUGAUAAGGUUCACCUUAAGGGCUAGAUUUCUCCUUUAUAUCGCCAUUUCCUUUCGUUACUCGCUACUGCGAUUCACGCGGCCAAGGCUGAGGAUCGAGACUCCUUGGGGAAUAAUUUGCGAUCCUUCGAGUAACAUUUCCAGAGAAUGAGAGUACGACGCAACGUCCGUGCAAACCCGAAAAUGCUUCCCGAGCGAGACAGUUGAAUGUGGAUCAAUAGUCGUUCUACCACAACAUGCAAUAAACACUUCUUCUUCCAAUAGUUAUUAAUUCUGAUUAUUCCGCCAAGCCGCCGAGUCGUUCGCCUUGACCGCCACGUAUACGCAGAUUAAUAUAGAGGGCCAAAAUUCAAG
rnacentral:misc_RNA from 1 species